rnacentral:rRNA from 1 species
AUGAUGAGAGAGAAAUCGUCCGUUUGGGGGGCGUCAAAAACAAACAAGCAAGCAGGGAGGGAAUCACGGCCGGCCACAGUGGAGCGGGGGCAUGCGGGCGCUGUUCCCUUCGCCUUCACCUUCUCUCACCCAGCUCGCCUUGCUUCUGACACAGCACAACCCCUCUAUGAAGUACGCUCGGUUUCUUUCCUGAUAGUGCAAGCAAAGCAAGCGCCAGACACACACCACCUAUUAUUUCCUCUCCAUCAGUCCAUCUUUUUCUUUUUGGUUAUUAUUUACACCAAGGGCGAGCGAGCACUAGAAGAAAACAGCCUAGCCUUGCCUUGCCAUCUGCCCAAGCUUCUCCCUUCUCUCUCUCUCUCUGCCCCUCUGGCUAAGCACAGCGCAGCAGAGACGGAUCCUCCGUCUCCACACUUUGACACUAUUAUUUUCCUUGUAGUAUUGCCGUGGGUGUGCCUGGCUGCCUUUGGGAAAGGGAGGCCCUAG